rnacentral:rRNA from 1 species
CAGGGAGAGCUUGCUCCCUGGGUGACGAGCGGCGGACGGGUGAGUAAUGUCUGGGAAACUGCCUGAUGGAGGGGGAUAACUACUGGAAACGGUAGCUAAUACCGCAUAACGUCGCAAGACCAAAGAGGGGGACCUUCGGGCCUCUUGCCAUCAGAUGUGCCCAGAUGGGAUUAGCUAGUAGGUGGGGUAAUGGCUCACCUAGGCGACGAUCCCUAGCUGGUCUGAGAGGAUGACCAGCCACACUGGAACUGAGACACGGUCCAGACUCCUACGGGAGGCAGCAGUGGGGAAUAUUGCACAAUGGGCGCAAGCCUGAUGCAGCCAUGCCGCGUGUGUGAAGAAGGCCUUCGGGUUGUAAAGCACUUUCAGCGAGGAGGAAGGUGGUGAACUUAAUACGUUCAUCAAUUGACGUUACUCGCAGAAGAAGCACCGGCUAACUCCGUGCCAGCAGCCGCGGUAAUA